rnacentral:rRNA from 1 species
UACAGAGGUCCCGAGCGUUGUCCGGAUUCAUUGGGCGUAAAGGGUGCGUAGGCGGCGCGGUAAGUCGGGUGUGAAAUCUCGGAGCUUAACUCCGAAACUGCAUUCGAUACUGCCGUGCUUGAGGACUGGAGAGGAGACUGGAAUUUACGGUGUAGCGGUGAAAUGCGUAGAUAUCGUAAGGAAGACCAGUGGCGAAGGCGGGUCUCUGGACAGUUCCUGACGCUGAGGCACGAAGGCCAGGGGAGCAAACGGG